rnacentral:rRNA from 1 species
AACGUAGGUCACAAGCGUUGUCCGGAAUUACUGGGUGUAAAGGGAGCGCAGGCGGGAAGACAAGUUGGAAGUGAAAUCUAUGGGCUCAACCCAUAAACUGCUUUCAAAACUGUUUUUCUUGAGUAGUGCAGAGGUAGGCGGAAUUCCCGGUGUAGCGGUGGAAUGCGUAGAUAUCGGGAGGAACACCAGUGGCGAAGGCGGCCUGCUGGGCACCAACUGACGCUGAGGCUCGAAAGUGUGGGUAGCAAACAGG